GGGCCAUAGCUCAGUGGUAGAGCACCUGCAUUACAUGCAGAAGGUCCCAAGUUCAAUCCCUGGCAUCCCCA